CUUCAUUCUCGCUGACAUCUUCAUUCUUGAUCAUUAUCAUCAUAUCAUAAACACCAGUCUUUAAAACUGUAAAACAGUUUGACACUGUCAGUUUCGCAUUCUGACAAAUGAUCUCGGUUAAUUUAAUCGUUUUAGUGUAAGAUUAAUAUUCCCGGACGUGUCAGUACAUGGUGAAACCUGUGUGAAGAGAUGAGCACAGGUUUUCGCCUUUGGUGCGCGCAGGUUUCGGACUGCCUGUUGUUUCGCGCGUGGGUACCAUGCGCAAUUGCGCAGAAACCACGCGACAAAGAAGGGCAUGACAACUGCUUUGUUAAUUGGAAUAGGCUUCUCGCUAUGUGUGCAGCGAGGGUGGUGAAAAGACUGAGAUAUAAGAUGACACGUGUCACUGAAUGGCACAAGCUCCAGCACCACCCAUCUCCAAUGAUCACCUGAGACAAGAAAACACUAAAAGAUCCAAACGAAGAGGAUGAAUGUACAACGCACUUUCAUCCCCCCAUUCUGUACAAGAGGCCAACAGGGUCUGGAGAAGAGAGGCUAUUACCUGUACGUGGUGCAUCCGACAUCACGGACACCGAUGUUCUUCUUCCAUUCAUCUGGAGUGGCUCACUUUCCAUAGCAAUUACUGGCCGUGAGAUCAAAACUGGACCAUCAGGGGGAAUUGCGUGUCCUCUGGCAGACUGUUGCAUGCGUGUGAAUAGACUGGCCGAUGGUACUUGGCCAUUGAGUGUACUGGCAGAGUGACUCGCAGAGGAAAUUGGUAAACUGACCGACUGAUUACACAUGAAAAAACUGUGGCCGACUGUUACGAACAUCCAUAGGCUUUAAGGUCAUGUAAAUUUGACAAUAAUAGUACAGUAUUAUUCAGGUGCUAUAAAUUUUACUUUAUUAUAUCCUGUAUAGAGGCUAGUAUGUAGUAUAUUGUAUUUAGUAUACUCAUUGUGUCUGUUUGUGGUGGUCCACUCUGGAGCUGGUGCAGCAGGCCCUGUCAUCUGCAGGCCAUCUCACAAUAAAGGCCAGCAGAGCUCACUGUCA
ensembl:lncRNA